GUUUCAUAAUGUUUGAUACACCUAAACAUCAAUUUGACAGAUAUUUUUCAUUUCUCAUCUUAAAUAGUGAUUUUGUAUAAAAUAUAUAAAGAAUUCCUGCUUUGGCUUGCUUUGCCAAAGAUUUAAAUGAAUCCAUUCGACAAAUUAUGGAGUUUUAAAACAUGGUUAUGUGAGGUUAUGCAAACAAGAUUCAUCACAUCAUCUUUGCAUUAUCCGCCGUUAUUGAUUGAUUUAACUCUUGAAGGUGUGGUUGAUGUGUGUGCACACAUAUCGUGUAGAGAAGAGGAAAAAUAAGAAGAAGCUGAUAGAUGAUGUGGGGCGGUUUGCAUGCGGGUGGGUUUCUAAAAGUUGUGAUAGCUUGCCGAGAGCAGGAAGAACGGGUGCUCAUGAUUUAUUAUCCGCGAUCUUCGCGAGCGCUGCGGUAUCACAGAUUACGCCGGAGCAGCAAGGAAAAAGACGACGAGGACGAUGCGCGCGUAUGGAUGAUGUGUGAGGAUAUCAGCGGAUGACACUAAGCGCCUGUCAUAUCCAAACACCGAUAUCUACAAGAAAUAUAUAGAUACAACAACAAAAAACAAAAAAUAUAUUUUUAGUGAAAAUGCUUUUUGUUAUUGAAAUUAUUUGAUAUUCAAGUGGACGCAUAUAUCGAUGUUAUUUUUGAUGAAAAGAUGAAACACACCAAACAUGCGUGGCGCGGAUGGAUGUAAGAUGUAUUGGAAAUGUGGAUGUUGCGGAAAUGUGGCGCACUUUUUGAGCGAAAAUCCAUUUCCUUUGCGCUCGGCGGAGGAGGCGGCGGUCGGGGACGACUGCGAGAAAUGAAUAAAGCAUGACGAUGAAAAACGAGACGCAAGGCGGGUUUUCGGCUGUGCUGGGUUUGGGUUUUUCUUUGGUGUGCAACCAGCGCGCGAGUUUUACCAACUAUUUGAUAUAUUUUCGAUUUCCAAGCGUAUCCCAUGAGGAAAACCCGAGCGCAUCACCAAAAUAAGAAAAGAAAUAGAAGC